rnacentral:lncRNA from 1 species
GGAUAUUUUUGUGCCCCCCACCCCCCUUGGUUUGAGCAGGGAGCCAGAGCACACAGCCUGUUUGUUUUAGUAUCCAGGGAAAAGACCAAGGAACCAGCUGGCUGGAAGAGAUGGGGGUGUGCAGUUCUGCCCUGUCCUUCUGCUCAUAACCUGACAAAAUGCCAAACCAAUAAGCAGGACAGCUGAUCCCAUGGCUAUGAGGAAAUUGGCUCUGAGAGGGCACAGACACUUGGAGCUUCAGCAUGGAGUUUCAAGCCUUAGAAAUGAAGGCUAUUCCUUACCUAAGGGAGAAAGAGU